rnacentral:rRNA from 1 species
ACCAUGCAGUCGAGGGGCAGCAUUUCAGUUUGCUUGCAAACUGGAGAUGGCGACCGGCGCACGGGUGAGUAACACGCUAUCCAACCUGCCGAUAACUCGGGGAUAGCCUUUCGAAAGAAAGAUUAAUACCCGAUGGUAUAAUCAGACCGCAUGGUCUUAUUAUUAAAGAAUUUCGGUUAUCGAUGGGGAUGCGUUCCAUUAGGCAGUUGGUGAGGUAACGGCUCACCAAACCUUCGAUGGAUAGGGGUUCUGAGAGGAAGGUCCCCCACAUUGGAACUGAGACACGGUCCAAACUCCUACGGGAGGCAGCAGUGAGGAAUAUUGGUCAAUGGGCGCAGGCCUGAACCAGCCAAGUAGCGUGAAGGAUGACUGCCCUAUGGGUUGUAAACUUCUUUUAUAUGGGAAUAAAGUUUUCCACGUGUGGAAUUUUGUAUGUACCAUAUGAAUAAGGAUCGGCUAACUCCGUGCCAGCAGCCGCGGUAAUACGGAGGAUCCGAGCGUUAUCCGGAUUUAUUGGGUUAAAAGGGAGCGUAGGUGGACAGUUAAGUCAGUUGUGAAAGUUUGCGGCUCAACCGUAAAAUUGCAGUUGAUACUGGCUGUCUUGAGUACAGUAGAGGUGGGCGGAAUUCGUGGUGUAGCGGUGAAAUGCUUAGAUAUCACGAAGAACUCCGAUUGCGAAGGCAGCUCACUGGACUGCAACUGACACUGAUGCUCGAAAGUGUGGGUAUCAAACAGGAUUAGAUACCCUGGUAGUCCACACAGUAAACGAUGAAUACUCGCUGUUUGCGAUAUACAGUAAGCGGCCAAGCGAAAGCAUUAAGUAUUCCCACCUGGGGAGUACGCCGGCAACGGUGAAACUCAAAGGAAUUGACGGGGGCCCGCACAAGCGGAGGAACAUGUGGUUUAAUUCGAUGAUACGCGAGGAACCUUACCCGGGCUUAAAUUGCAUUUGAAUAAUNUGGAAACAGGUUAGCCGCAAGGCAAAUGUGAAGGUGCUGCAUGGUUGUCGUCAGCUCGUGCCGUGAGGUGUCGGCUUAAGUGCCAUAACGAGCGCAACCCUUAUCUUUAGUUACUAACAGGUCAUGCUGAGGACUCUAGAGAGACUGCCGUCGUAAGAUGUGAGGAAGGUGGGGAUGACGUCAAAUCAGCACGGCCCUUACGUCCGGGGCUACACACGUGUUACAAUGGGGGGUACAGAAGGCAGCUACCUGGUGACAGGAUGCUAAUCCCAAAAGCCUCUCUCAGUUCGGAUCGAAGUCUGCAACCCGACUUCGUGAAGCUGGAUUCGCUAGUAAUCGCGCAUCAGCCAUGGCGCGGUGAAUACGUUCCCGGGCCUUGUACACACCGCCCGUCAAGCCAUGAAAGCCGGGGGUACCUGAAGUACGUAACCGCAAGGAGCUC